GGCGGGAAAGGAGAUGGCAUGCCUCCGGUUCCACCUCGGAACAAACCGCCCCGAUGUCAUCAAACAGGGGCUGAUGAUGCCUGCACCACC
rnacentral:ncRNA from 2 species